GCUGAAACAACAGCUUAUUCCGUGCCUUCUGUAGUAGAAGAAAAUGAUUUACACAGUACAAUCAAGUGAAUUCCGGGGGUUGUUACUAAAUCUGCAAAAUUAGGCACAAAUUGAGAACUAGAAUAAGUCACACAGAUCACCUAAGCAGCUGUGUGUGGCCUAUCCCAGCAUAAGCUGGCUCUGUCUUAACUUGCCACUGCGCUGGAGGAUGUGCUGUGACACUCUCCUUCUAACCAAGUUGCUGUGAAGCUUCUGUCAGAGGGACCAGACUGAUUUCCACAGGAGAUGCCUGAAUAGAAUGGUUCUAUUGAAUUGCUGGAAGCCAGGAAUUUGCAAGUGGCCAUUCCACCUUCUAUAGCUCAUGUCUAAAUAGCAUGUGUGACUCUAACUUAGAGGACAAGUUUAAGAUUAAUAAUAUGUACCUGACAUAAAGCACAUUUCAGCAUUGCUUCUCCUGCCAGUACUCCAAGACUGUCAGCGACAACUCUACUUCAGUGAUGCUACAAGCAUGUAUUUCAUCCUGGAAAGUUCUGCAUUCUCUGCUCUCUCUCUUACAAGCAGAAAGAUCACUGAAACUUGGAGUUAACAAUUUAAAAAAAACAUACUCAUCAUCUUUGACAUGCUAGAAAGGCUUAAUCACAGAGUCUGAA